UAAAUAAGGCACUAUUAUUAUUUCUCAUGCUCAUUUCUUACAUCUAUGAGAGAGGUCUUUGUCAGUCAGGAACCUACAAAGGUCAACCAUGGACUAGAAGGUGGCUCCUGCCCUAGCCUUAACUUCCCCAGGCCUAUAUUUUUCCAACAUUUACUGUUGUGUUUAAUGUCUCAUUCAGGCUCUCUGAAUGGUUUCCAGGACUAUGAAAGACCUAAAUCUUCAGGCUGAUUUCCAUCCCACAGUUCCGCCUACAGAAGAAUGACUGGAAUGCUUUGGAGACUAAAGCAAAUAGAGAGGCAAGAACAAAGGCUGUAUAUGUGAAGACUGUGAGUGGCAAUAUAUUUGGUGGGAGAUUUAAGAUUCUAAGAAAUGGCUCCUGUCCUCAAGGCAUGUCUUGGAACUUCUAAACAAGCCUGAAAACAUUCAGAGCAGGAAUUUUUGUUGUUUUUUUUUGAAAUAGAAACUUUAAAAACGUUUUUAAUUUGGUGUCUUGCUACAUAUGAAGAGUGGCAAAUCAAACUCUUUAAGAUAUCCAAUAAUUGUUUUCAACAUGUGAUGACAAUGGAUGAAGAAAUAUCACAAAGUAUUGAUUGAAGCAAAAUGUUCCCCCACUGGCUCUUGUUUCAAUUUUUUCUUUCUCAUUUCUCUAAAUGAAUUUAGGGAAAUUGAGUUCCUUGUAUGCUUCAGUUUUAUAAUGUAUUGA